CUCCUCACCUGCGCUCUCUGUCCUGUUCUCGCUCGCUGCACGACCUGUUUUCUCUUUCCGGUUUGCAUCGGCCCGUUGAACCCCACCUCCUCUCCUCCCUCUUCCCUUCUCGCCAGGCUUACACAUUCCUCUCGGUCGUUACUUUUUGGUCGUUCUAGCGGCACCAGUUCUCACCCUCACCGGUGCACCUUCUCUGUCUGCGCGAUUGCCGAUAGGCGACGGACCACUUCGUUCCCUGAGCACGUCCCCCUCCACACGUACGUGCGCGCGUUCACUUUACAGACGAUUUGUGUGUGUGUGUAUUUUCCUCAAAUACAUGUUUUUGUGUCGUUUUGCAGCUGCUCGUUUGAGACGAAGUGAACGUUCUGUGUGCAUCUUGAGAGUAGCAGCCUCAACGCUGAGUGGACGCCUCAGGUACCCGCCACUGUCUCUCCUCUAUCUUUUUUGCAAGCCUUCUCCGCACCGACAGCGGUGAGCAGUAGCGCCUGUGACACAAACACGAGCACACCUCACUUGUCUCGCAACUCCCUUCACAUCGCGCUCUUCUUUUCUUCCUUCCCCGUUCUCACGCCACCCCCUCCCCCUUUUCCGUUUUUUCUUUUGUUUUCACUCUUUAUUUGCCGUUGCCCCCCCCCCCCCCCCACCCACCCACCACCGAGCUGCUGCGCAUCGUCUCUUUUCAGUUUUCUAUUCGUUGCGUAACGCACGGGUGCCAUCAUCUCCAGCCGCGCAGCGCGUGGGCCGUUACGCUUUCUUGCUGUGCUUUCGCUCGUCCGGCCAUACUUACCCACGAACACAAAAGAAAACCGAUCAUGUCGGCUCCGCCGAGCUACACAAACCUUGCCAACGUGGUGAAGGACUACUUGACGAAGGGCAGCGAUGCGCGCGGGUGGCAGCUGGACGCGAACGAGAACGGAGCGCCCACGGGUUUCAACGCGUUCCCCUUUGCCAGCCCCAAAGCUAUUGGCGCUCACCUCUCCUACGAAUGCCCGAGCUACCACACGACCGUCAAGUCGAAGGUGUCCGCCGCGUUCACGUCUUGGCGUGAGUACCUCCCUACGAUCAUCUAUCACACCAAAGUCAACAACACGUCGAACGAGAUUGAGGUGGAUGCUGCUGCCACCUCCGUGAAGGUGACAUCCAAGCAUUGUGUCUUCAACGCCAGCUGCAAGUCGUCGCCGCUCGACGGGUUUGUGACGGAUGCAAACGUGACGACGCGUGUGUCCGAUCAUGUUUACGCUGGCGCGUCGCUGCAGUACGAUCCCAAGCGAAGCGGAGUGCGCGACUUCACCGCCCUCAUGGUUCGCUACGCCUGCCCACACCUCAGCAAAGGUGAUCUGCUUGGUCAGUACAGUCUGCGGAACGGCUUCUCGGUGCACAUUCGCGUCCCUAUUCACACUUACAUAGAUGCUGCCGUCAUGGCAGAGCGCAGGCGCUUUAUCGCCGGCGUGCAAGCCCGUUCGCCGUGCGGCGCUCGCCUCAUGCUCAACGCAAAUGUGUCAGACGGCACUUACACCAUGACAGCUAUCCGAAACAUGAGCGACAUCUGGAAGCUCACGGCGACGAUGACGGCUCCGUUCGCCUCCGGGGAGGGUGCUGCAGCGCCGCGCUUCGGCCUGAAGCUCACCAACAUGGACGCCGCUGACUAAGGUCGAAAUUGGAACAUCACCGUUGAGUUCUCGCCAAGAACCGUGCUAGAGGAUGACGGCGCGAGGCCCAAUCAGGAUAGAGUGAGUAGGCUGGAUCUAUUCAGCGUCCUCGAUAAACCAGCGCGCAGUUGUCAAGGAGCGAGUACACGGAAAAGCGUGAGCACCGGUAGGGUGCGUUAAGUGCAGCGCACAACUCGUUCUUUGGCCCCCUCCGUUUCGGCGCCGGCGAGCAUCGGACAAACAUGCUGUUGCUUGUUUACUUUUUCCGUGAUUCCUUCACUGGUUGCCCUAUGCGCCCUCCCUUCACGUACCUCCCUUUCCCUCACUCAACCCGCUCACCUACUAG
rnacentral:misc_RNA from 1 species